rnacentral:rRNA from 1 species
ACCCAUGGCCAUGCCACCCUGAGCAAGCCUGAUAUCUGAUCUUGAAAGCUAAGCAGGGUCGGGCCUGAUUAGUACGUGGCUGGGAGACCACCUAGGAAGACCAGGUGCUGCAGGCA